UGUUUCGGCAAGGGGGUCAUCCCGACUUACCAACCCGAUGCAAACUGCGAAUACCGGAGAAUGUUAUCACGGGAGACACACGGCGGGUGCUAACGUCCGUCGUGAAGAGGGAAACAACCCAGACCGCCAGCUAAGGUCCCAAAGUCAUGGUUAAGUGGGAAACGAUGUGGGAAGGCCCAGACAGCCAGGAUGUUGGCUUAGAAGCAGCCAUCAUUUAAAGAAAGCGUAAUAGCUCACUGGUCGAGUCGGCCUGCGCGGAAGAUGUAACGGGGCUAAACCAUGCACCGAAGCUGCGGCAGCGACGCUUAUGCGUUGUUGGGUAGGGGAGCGUUCUGUAAGCCUGUGAAGGUGUGCUGUGAGGCAUGCUGGAGGUAUCAGAAGUGCGAAUGCUGACAUAAGUAACGAUAAAGCGGGUGAAAAGCCCGCUCGCCGGAAGACCAAGGGUUCCUGUCCAACGUUAAUCGGGGCAGGGUGAGUCGACCCCUAAGGCGAGGCCGAAAGGCGUAGUCGAUGGGAAACAGGUUAAUAUUCCUGUACUUGGUGUUACUGCGAAGGGGGGACGGAGAAGGCUAUGUUGGCCGGGCGACGGUUGUCCCGGUUUAAGCGUGUAGGCUGGUUUUCCAGGCAAAUCCGGAAAAUCAAGGCUGAGGCGUGAUGACGAGGCACUACGGUGCUGAAGCAACAAAUGCCCUGCUUCCAGGAAAAGCCUCUAAGCAUCAGGUAACAUCAAAUCGUACCCCAAACCGACACAGGUGGUCAGGUAGAGAAUACCAAGGCGCUUGAGAGAACUCGGGUGAAGGAACUAGGCAAAAUGGUGCCGUAACUUCGGGAGAAGGCACGCUGAUAUGUAGGUGAAGUCCCUCGCGGAUGGAGCUGAAAUCAGUCGAAGAUACCAGCUGGCUGCAACUGUUUAUUAAAAACACAGCACUGUGCAAACACGAAAGUGGACGUAUACGGUGUGACGCCUGCCCGGUGCCGGAAGGUUAAUUGAUGGGGUUAGCGGUAACGCGAAGCUCUUGAUCGAAGCCCCGGUAAACGGCGGCCGUAACUAUAACGGUCCUAAGGUAGCGAAAUUCCUUGUCGGGUAAGUUCCGACCUGCACGAAUGGCGUAAUGAUGGCCAGGCUGUCUCCACCCGAGACUCAGUGAAAUUGAACUCGCUGUGAAGAUGCAGUGUACCCGCGGCAAGACGGAAAGACCCCGUGAACCUUUACUAUAGCUUGACACUGAACAUUGAGCCUUGAUGUGUAGGAUAGGUGGGAGGCUUUGAAGUGUGGACGCCAGUCUGCAUGGAGCCGACCUUGAAAUACCACCCUUUAAUGUUUGAUGUUCUAACGUUGACCCGUAAUCCGGGUUGCGGACAGUGUCUGGUGGGUAGUUUGACUGGGGCGGUCUCCUCCUAAAGAGUAACGGAGGAGCACGAAGGUUGGCUAAUCCUGGUCGGACAUCAGGAGGUUAGUGCAAUGGCAUAAGCCAGCUUGACUGCGAGCGUGACGGCGCGAGCAGGUGCGAAAGCAGGUCAUAGUGAUCCGGUGGUUCUGAAUGGAAGGGCCAUCGCUCAACGGAUAAAAGGUACUCCGGGGAUAACAGGCUGAUACCGCCCAAGAGUUCAUAUCGACGGCGGUGUUUGGCACCUCGAUGUCGGCUCAUCACAUCCUGGGGCUGAAGUAGGUCCCAAGGGUAUGGCUGUUCGCCAUUUAAAGUGGUACGCGAGCUGGGUUUAGAACGUCGUGAGACAGUUCGGUCCCUAUCUGCCGUGGGCGCUGGAGAACUGAGGGGGGCUGCUCCUAGUACGAGAGGACCGGAGUGGACGCAUCACUGGUGUUCGGGUUGUCAUGCCAAUGGCACUGCCCGGUAGCUAAAUGCGGAAGAGAUAAGUGCUGAAAGCAUCUAAGCACGAAACUUGCC
rnacentral:rRNA from 1 species